GGCCUUGGCGGCAACGGGUGGCAAGUGUCCAGGGAGCGCCCCGCGGUGAGUCCAGGACGCAGAGAAGAGUCUCGCGGGAGCCUCACCCGAGACAGCACCGGCGCCCGGGCGAGCCGAGCCCUUCCGCGGUGAGUCGGCGCCCUGGGGUCGCCGCUCCAGGAGCUCAGGGGAGGCACCUCCCCUCCUCCGUGUCUCCGCAUGGCCCUAGGGCUCCCCACAGAGGGAGCCGGGGCCUCCCGCCCACGACCGCGGAGCGGCCCCUUCCCGCGUGGCGGGGCCAGCGAGCUCCUCUUGCGGGGCGUGGACGGGGCCGGGGUGCCCGGCAUCCAAGCUUAUGGAGCAGCCCCCUUUGAAGAUCUCCAGGUGGACCUCACAGAGAUGCAAAGUGUGGCGGUAACAAGUGUUUGCUAGUUCUUGUGUGUACCUGCUCUGGGUGGGUGGAGGCUCAUCCAACACGAACUGAGAAAGCUCCUGAAGUAACCCGUGUGCUUCUUCGAGAUCUUAUUCCUAGAUUUGGACUGCGCUUACGGAUGGGCUCAGAUAACCGCCGGGGGUUUGUGGCUGACUUGGUACAGAAGACAGCGAAGGUGACCCAGUGUGGAUCAAGGACUAGAACGUAGCCUCUUUGUGCCCAGGGUGGAAAGGACCCCAGACUGUCGUCCUGACCACUCCCACCGCUGUGAAGGUAGAGGGAAUCCCAGCCUGGAUCCACCACAGCCUUGUAAAACCUGCAGCGCCUGAAACCUGGGAGGCAAGUGUGGGGAAAAGAAAGAGAUCAGCCUGUUACUGUGUCUAUAUAGAAAGAAGUAGACAUAAGAGACUCCAUUUUGUUCUGUAUUUGAGAUGCUGUUAAUCUGUGACCCUACCCCCAACCUUGUCCUUGCAAGAGACAUGUGCUGUGGUAACUCAAGGUUUAAUGGAUUUUGGGCGUGCAGGGUGUGACUUUGUUCCUAGAAAAGCUAGGUAUUGUCCAAGGUUUAUCCCCAUGUGAUAGGAUGAAACAAUGUUGCUAAAAGGUUUAUCUCAAGGCACAGGAUUUUCCUUUAAACUUAUUCAUGUCACAGAGAUCCUUGUUCUUAUGUCUUACUGCUAAUUUCCUCCCUAAAAAUGAUCCUAUUGUCCUGCCACUCCCUUAUCUUUAAGAUGGUAAAGAUAAUUAUCUAUAAAUACUAAGGGAACUCAGAGGCCGGUGCCGGCGUGGGUCCUCUGUAAGCUGAGCGCCGAUCCCCUGGGCCCCCGCUUUUCUUUCUCUAUACUUUGUCUCUGUGUCUUAUUUCUUUUCUCAAGUCUCUCGUUCCACCUAACGAGAAACACCACAGGUGUGGAGGGGCAGGCCACCCCUUCAGGCAAGACCAAGCCCGGACAACCCUUGCGGAGUGACCCUGAAGAAGACGACAAGCCCUACUCCAGUCACACCCGGAAGCUGACUGGUCCACGCACGGCCGAAGCAUGAGGAAUCUCAUCGUGGGAUUCAUUUUCUUAAAUUUUGGACUUAUACAGUAAGGGCUUCAACUGACCUUACUCAAACCGGUGACUGUUCCCAGUGUAUUCAUCAGGUCACUGAGGUAGGACAGCAAAUUAAAACAAUCUUCCUGCCGGGCGCGGUGGCUCAAGCCUGUAAUCCCAGCAUUUUGGGAGGCCGAGACGGGCGGAUCACGAGGUCAGGAGAUCGAGACCAUCCUGGCUAACCCAGUGAAACCCCGUCUCUGCUAAAAAAAUACAAAAAAAAACUAGCCGGGCGAGGUGGCGGGCGCCUGUAGUCCUAGCUACUCGGGAGGCUGAGGCAGGAGAAUGGCGUAAACCCGGGAGGCGGAGCUUGCAGUGAGCUGAGAUCCAGCCACUGCACUCCAGCCUGGGCGACAGAGCCAGACUCCGUCUCAAAAAAAAAAAAAAAAACAAACUUUCUGUUCUAUAGUUAUUAUGAAUGCAUGGAAAUGUUGAAAGAAACUUGCUUGUAUAAUGCCACUCAGAACAAGGUAUGUAGCCGGGGAAAUGACCAACCUGAUGUGUGUUAUAACCCAUCUGAGCCCCCUGCAACCACUGUUUUCAAAAUAAGAUUAAGAACUGGCCUUUUCCUAGGUGAUACAAGUAAAAUAAUAACUAUAACAGAAGGAAAAGGAAUCCCCAAACAAGUAGCCUUAAGAUUUGAUGCUUGUGCGGCCAUUAAUAGUAACAAGCUAGGAACAGGAUGUGGUUCUCUUAACUGGGAAAGGAGCUACAGAGUAGAAAAUAAAUAUGUUUGUCAUGAGUCAGGGGUUUGUGAAAAUUGUGCCUAUGGCCAAGUGUUAUUUGGGAUACUUGGAAAAAGAACAAAAAGGACCCGGUUCAUCUUCAGAAGGGGAAGCCAACCCCCCCUGUGCUGCCGGUCACUGUAACCCACCGGACCUCAUAAUCACCCAUCCCCUAGACCCCCGCCACCCCUCCUGUGCUGCCGGUCACUGUAACCCACCGGACCUCAUCAUCACCCGUCCCCUAGACCCCCGCCACCCCUCCUGUGCUGCCGGUCACUGUAACCCACCGGACCUCAUAAUCAUCCGUCCCCUAGACCCCCGCCAACCCUCCUGUGCUGCCGGUCGUUGUAACCCACCGGACCUCAUAAUCACCCGUCCCCUAGACCCCCGCCAACCCCUCCUGUGCUGCUGGUCACUGUAACCCACCGGACCUCAUAAUCACCCGUCCCCUAGACCCCCGCCACCCCUCCUGUGCUGCCGGUCACUGUAACCCACUGGAACUAAUAAUCACCAAUCCCCCAGAUCCGCGUUGGGAAAAGGGAGAACCCGUAACCCUGGGGAUCGAUGGGACAGGGUUAAACCCCCAUGUUGCCAUUUUAGUCCGAGGGGACGUCUACAGGCGCUCUCCCAAACCAGUGUUUCAAACCUUUUAUGAGGAGCUGAAUCUGCCAGCACCAGAACUUCCGAAAAAGACAAAAAAUUUGUUUCUCCAAUUAGCAGAAAAUGUAGCUCAUUCCCUUAAUGUUACUUCUUGUUACGUACGCGGGGGAACCACUAUGGGAGACUGAUGGCCUUGGGAAGCCCGAGAGUUGGUGCCCACUGAUCCAGCUCCUGAUAUAAUUCCAGUUCAGAAGGCCCAAGCUAGCAACUUCUGGGUCCUAAAAACCUCAAGUAUUGGACACUACCGUACAGCUAGGGAAGGAAAAGACUUUAUCAUCCCUGUAGGAAAGCUUAAUUGUAUAGGACGGAAGUUGUACAAACAGCACAACAAAAACAAUUACUUGGUGGGGCCUAAAUCACACUGAAAAGAACCCAUUUAGUAAAUUUUCUAAAUUAAAAACUGCCUGGGCUCAUCCAGAAUCUUAUCAGGACUGGACUGCUCCCGCUGGACUAUACUGGAUAUGUGGGCACAGAGCCUACAUUCGGUUACCUAAUAAAUGAACAGGUAGUUGUGUUAUUGGCA
rnacentral:lncRNA from 1 species